GACUGAUGAGGGUCACAUGACCUUUCUAGACAGCACAGAGCGCGGAUGGUAAUAUGUAGCUGUGGGGGAAGGGUGCCGCCAGUCACACGACUCUCGUUGGGCUGUACAGGCCUGGGAAGCGCGGGGAAAGCUCAGCCUGUAGCAGGGGAAUAUCCAGCUCACAGGCAGGAGGGUUUCUGUGGUGCUGUUAUGUCAUUCAGACCCAUUUUCCAGACCAAGCAAUUGCAGAUACAACAAAAGCAAACCAAUGGCAGCUACAUAACCUAUGGUAGUUUGCACAGAGAGAAACACCCCUGAGAAUGUGGUCUGACACCGGCAGUGUAUUGUUAACCAGAAGGACCGGGGAGGGUUAGGGCUGCCUUAGUUAUUGCUGUGAAGAGGAUCAGUGGAUUCAGUCCGCUGCUGCUUUGUCAUAUCAGCAUAUUGCUGUGUAAUGGGGCCAUCCAGCCAGCCCAUGUGGGCACACUGAACUGUCACCCAUACACAAUCACUCUGCAAACUCAUGGGGUUAUUUAGAACUAGUUUCUCUACCUACAGGAACACGCAAAGGAUUUGCAUGUGACCAAAUGAGAGAGAGGUUAUCUUAGGCAAAAGAAAACUAACUGUGUUUAUCAAGUUGUGAUGACAGUCUUCAAAUUAAGAUGGUGAUCUUUUUUAAAUGGAUGAGAUGACUAUGACAGGAAUACAUAAUGUGCAUUAUAUCACCUGAUUAGUAAACUAGGUCAUGAAAAUCAUGCUGUAAUGUUGUGUGAGUCUCUCU